rnacentral:lncRNA from 1 species
UUACAUAUUAAUUUAAGUUGUUGAUUUUUAAUAUUGGUGACUACUGCGGCAAGGAAAAACGUACGAAGUCCCAUCCAAUAAACAGAGAAGAUAGUAUCGCGAUCCAUUGAGAAAAGAAAGCCACGAUAAAGAAGAAUGGGUCAGUAUUCAAAAGCUGCUGAAAAAAUAUGGAAAAAGAACGAGUUCUUGGCAUACAAUGCUGACACGAGAAAUAUUCUAUUAAUUACAAAAAAAGGAUGCUAAAUGACAGCUGGGCCUUCAGUUUACAAAUUAUAAA